AUUUUUCAGCAAGAGUCAGUUUACGACACUGCUCUGUGAAGGAAGUGAAAACAUGUUACGAUCAAGUACAGUGGGAAGCCAGGAUGGGGAAGAGUUGUGCAUGUCAGUACCCAUGUGAAGAGACAUCGUAUGACAUACAGGUAUCAUCCAUGGUACUGCCAUCAAAUGUCACCUUCCCGUCUACUUUACUGAAUGCGGCAUAUACCCCUGACAAGAUAAGACAAAAUUACCUGGUUCUACAAAUCAG